GAGUUUGAUCCUGGCUCAGAUUGAACGCUGGCGGCAGGCCUAACACAUGCAAGUCGAGCGGAUGACGGGAGCUUGCUCCUGGAUUCAGCGGCGGACGGGUGAGUAAUGCCUAGGAAUCUGCCUGGUAGUGGGGGACAACGUUUCGAAAGGAACGCUAAUACCGCAUACGUCCUACGGGAGAAAGCAGGGGACCUUCGGGCCUUGCGCUAUCAGAUGAGCCUAGGUCGGAUUAGCUAGUUGGUGGGGUAAUGGCUCACCAAGGCGACGAUCCGUAACUGGUCUGAGAGGAUGAUCAGUCACACUGGAACUGAGACACGGUCCAGACUCCUACGGGAGGCAGCAGUGGGGAAUAUUGGACAAUGGGCGAAAGCCUGAUCCAGCCAUGCCGCGUGUGUGAAGAAGGUCUUCGGAUUGUAAAGCACUUUAAGUUGGGAGGAAGGGCAGUAAGCGAAUACCUUGCUGUUUUGACGUUACCGACAGAAUAAGCACCGGCUAACUCUGUGCCAGC
rnacentral:rRNA from 1 species